GUAGAGUUAAAUCGAAACGAAGGUAGGUUUUGGUUAACAGAAGAUCGUCUUUUUUUUUUUCGUAAAUAAUUAGGCUGUUAGUUUAUGAAAUCUAAAUGCUUGUGAGUAGGAGUGACUGAAUGUGAAUGCUAAUCUAGUAGAGUAAAAUAGAAUGCUUGCAAGAACUUGUCUUAAUUGUGCGUCUCUUUGGUUAUUGUGUCUGCAUUUGGUUUGCAGUUUCAUGAAAUUUAUUCAUAAUGUAAUGUUAGAGUUGAGGCACGUUUCUUUUUCAUUGAGUUUAGGUUGAAAAGAACUGUUUUUGUAGAGGUGUGAGCCAUAUGAGAUCCCAUUUUUUAUCAAUGUGAAAUGAAAUGAUAUGUGAAAUUCUCUGACCCAUGUUGAGGACUGUUGGCAAGGUUCAGUUGUUUGAGCUUGGGUUGCUUACAUCAAAAUGCUUGGCUCCCCUUUCUAUUUAGUUUCUUGUUUCUCUUUGUUUGUUUCCAAUGUGAGACUCCAACAUGAUCCCUCUUCUCUGCAGAAUAGGUCGGUGGUACAAUGAG
rnacentral:misc_RNA from 1 species